AAGACAAGACAAGAUCAGCAGGAGAAGGGUUGGACGCAUGGUACCUUUCCAUGGAAAUCCUGUCUGGGGUUCAUGACCCAGAGUCUUGGUCUGUUUGCUUGUCUCACAGUGCACAAGAGGCAAGAGCUUAGAAAGCAGAUCAGGGAAGAGUGGGGAGGAAGGUAUUUGUGCAUCCCUGUGGGGGAAAGGUGGGCACUUCCCAGCACAGCCCGGGACAGUGCGAGGAAUGGCACAGAGGAACACUCUGCUUUUUGGUUCACAGUAUGGCCAGGACAGAAAUGAGACCUUUCUCUACAUCCUGAGGUUUUAUUUUCUUUGUCUUUCUCAGGUGGAGCAGUUAGGUCAGGCCAAGCCUGGCCCUGUUCUGAUACAGCUCACCUAGCAGAUUUGAAGUUAGACUAUUUACAACAAGAAGAAGGCAUGCCCUGCCAUGGCAAAACCUCACCAGGUCUCCCUGUAUGAUUCUUGAAUGUCUUCUUUAGCAAGGUUACACCUGGCACACAGACCCUAUCAGCCACUGACUGCAUUCCUUACAAACCCAAACCCAUUGGUGGGCAGAGCGGGAAGGUGGCUGGCCACCAUCCAGACAGUAAACAAUAGAGGCAAUUAUUAUGCAGCCAUUAAUCUUGUCAAUUACACAUUAACCCAGGCUGUGUGUAAACAGGAGCACAAUCCUCAUUCUUUUUCUCUGCCUUUCUCAAUGGCUUCCCACCCCACCUCCUCAGAAAAUAAAAAGGGACUGCAUUCUACCACAUUCUCAAUAUCAUCCUUAAUUCCACUUUUUCACUUAUGGAAACAAUCAUACCAAUCUGGAAAUUCCUUUAACCUGUGUAUCGAUUUUAUCUUUUUGUGUGUGUGUGUGAUUUCUAUUACAUAUGAUACUCUGCUGAGUGCUUGGGAAGCUGAUUUUGCUGUUUUCUACAAAUCUAUGGUUCCUUUUUCACUUUGAACUCCCCAGUUGAAAAGGCUAUAUUCAUAUAUAUUACCUCAUGAGGUAAUAUAAUGAUUGAUAGCACAAAUUUAUUACAUGUUUUGAAGUCGCUUUCUAAUAUACCUGGAUAAGGAUCUAUUUCCUAUUCAUCUUCAUCUGGGUAGAUGCCACCCAAAGACAUCCUUGUCCACUUAAAAACCUGUAGCAGUUGGCUUUGUGGUCAAAGGAGAUUUUUGUUUUUUAAAGUGAGGAGCAGUUCUGGAAGCAAUUAGAUCUGGCAUUGUUCAGGGCAGAUGGUGAAGUGGGCAGAGAUUCUCUUCAAAGCCUCUAGCCUUUCAUUUUCCUGUGCUCACUCUUCCUUUAGUACACUUGACCUCUCCUUUCCCUCCUCCUCCUCCAAAGCCAUCUCUAAGAAAUGGCCCACGUCAGUCAUUUAUCUCUUCCUGGGCAUUAAAGAGUCUGGGGAAUGCUCAUUCCUGCUGUGUUUUCACUGAAAGCCUUAUCUUUAAUUGUGGAAUGAAAGGAAUUUCAGGUAUUGGAUCACAGCUCAAAGUUCAAGUUUUUAACGUUCUAUUCACAUAGCAGUCAGGAAAAAAAAAUCCUUUUUGAUUGGAAGGAGGGCAGUUUUCACAGGCCCUCUUCUCAGGCUCUGGUGGUGAUCCGUCUCUGUUCUCUCCUCUUUGUGGAGCCAUUCUGGAAGACAAGGCUUGAGGUUGGGGUGGGCAGGACAAGUAGCACAGAGAUUUCUCAAACGUUGCUGGAUAAGGUGUUUGAGACCGAUUUCAGUAGAACCCUAAUACACAUUAGGUAAGAUUUCUGAAUCAGGAAUGUGAGAAAGGUCUGUUGAAACUGGGCAUCAAUACCCUUUUUCCUUGGGAUAUGUCAGGGAAUUCCCCAAGAGGCUUCAAUGUUCAGGGCAGCCCUGCUACCCUAUUUUUUGGGUGGUGGGGUGGGAACUUGGAAAGAGGUCUUGCUGGCUGAAAUUAAAUUAGCAUGUUGUUUCGAGGGAGUUGGGAACAUUUUCAAGUUGCUGUGCAUAAACCUGCGAGCUCAUUUUCUCAGAUUUGGUUCAUGCAUAUAGGGUGGUACUAUGUAUUCACUAGAAAGGGUUCAGACUUGUUGCAUCUUGGUUCUGUCUCUAGAUCUAGGAUAAUGCAUUUAUUCCAAAACUUAAUUUUGGUAAAACGAAAGAAUCAACUAGGCAAUCACUGAGGUUCCUUCUAGCUUCAAAAAUCCCGAUGAUCUCUGAGAUCUAUGAAUUAAAAUUAAUUGGUGCAACUUGUGGGAUGUUAUUUAAGUGAAAAUUCUUAGAGUCAGGGCACUAGUGAAAGGUAAGAGCCAGGAAUGCAGGGGAUACUGGUCAUUUUCCAUAGCUUCUUUCCUCCCAAAUUGUAGCAAUUCUGGGGUUGUGGGAAGAAGUAGAGAUAUGAGUGGCAAAUCAAUACAAACUGUGUCACCAAUAAGGUUGUUCAGGGAAAUAAGUUUAUAAAGAGUGGAAAGGAACAGGCUGAGCCUGACAGGGUUAAAGGAAGCACCAAUUUCU
rnacentral:lncRNA from 1 species